GACGAACGCUGGCGGCGUGCUUAACACAUGCAAGUCGAACGGAAAGGCCCUGCUUUUGUGGGGUGCUCGAGUGGCGAACGGGUGAGUAACACGUGAGUAACCUGCCCUUGACUUUGGGAUAACUUCAGGAAACUGGGGCUAAUACCGGAUAGGAGCUCCUGCUGCAUGGUGGGGGUUGGAAAGUUUCGGCGGUUGGGGAUGGACUCGCGGCUUAUCAGCUUGUUGGUGGGGUAGUGGCUUACCAAGGCUUUGGCGGGUAGCCGGCCUGAGAGGGUGACCGGCCACAUUGGGACGGAGAGACGGCCCGGGCUCCGAGGGGCGGCAGCAGGGGGGAAUUGUGCAAGAGGGGCGGAAGCCGGAUGCAGCAAGGCCGGGUGGGGGAUGGCGGCUUUCGGUUUUAAAACCGUUUUCGCCGGUGACGAAGCGGGAGUGAGGGUAAUGGGUAAAGAAGCCCCGGCUAACUAGGGG
rnacentral:rRNA from 1 species